GCGAGUGGCGAAGGCUGACUAAUAUAUCGGAACGUGUCCUGUAGUGGGGGAUAGCCCGGCGAAAGCCGUAUUAAUACCGCAUACGCUCUGGCGAGGAAAGCGGGGGAUCUUAGGACCUCGCGCUACAGGGGCGGCCGAUGGCAGAUUACCUAUUUGGUGGGGUAAAGGCCUACCAAGGCGACUAUCUGUAGCUGGUCUGAGAGGACUACCACCCACACUGGGACUGAGACACGGCCCAGACUCCUACGGGAGGCAAGAGUGGGGAAUUCUGGACAAUGGGGGCAACCCUGAUCCAGCAAUGCCGGGUGUGUGAAGAAGGCCUUCGGGUUGUAAAGCACUUUUGUCCUGAAAGAAAACNGCCUGGCUAAUAUCCUGGUGGGAUGACUGUCCCGGNAACAAUUAGCACCGNUAACUACGUGCCAGCAGCCCCGGUAAUA
rnacentral:rRNA from 1 species